UGGGGAAUUUUGGACAAUGGGCGCAAGCCUGAUCCAGCCAUUCCGCGUGAGUGAAGAAGGCCUUCGGGUUGUAAAGCUCUUUCGCAAGGGAAGAAAACUUAGUCUCUAACAUAGACUGAGGUUGACGGUACCUUGAUAAGAAGCACCGGCUAACUACGUGCCAGCAGCCGCGGUAAUACGUGGGGUGCGAGCGUUAAUCGGAAUUACUGGGCGUAAAGCGUGCGCAGGCGGUUUUGUAAGUCAGAUGUGAAAUCCCCGAGCUCAACUUGGGAACUGCGUUUGAAACUACAAGACUAGAAUAUGUCAGAGGGGGGUAGAAUUCCACGUGUAGCAGUGAAAUGCGUAGAGAUGUGGAGGAAUACCAAUGGCGAAGGCAGCCCACUGGGAUAAUAUUGACGCUCAUGCACGAAAGCGUGGGGAGCAAACAG
rnacentral:rRNA from 1 species